AUGAAACCGAAUAAGGUGCCAGGACCAGAUGGGUUCCCUGCCAAAUUCUAUAAGAAAUGUUGGCAUAUCAUAAAGGGAGACCUCUUACCCAUGUUCCAUGACUUGUUCAACGGUCACUUGCAAUUGUUCCAUCUUAACUUUGGAACGAUAACACUGUUGCCAAAGAAAGACGGAGCAGUUCGUAUCGAACAGUUUAGAUCGAUAUGUAUUCUCAAUGUGAGUUUCAAAAUAUUCAUGAAAGUUGGAACCAAUAGAUUAACACAGAUUGCCCAUUCGGUGCUGCAACCGAGUCAGACAACUUUCAUGCCUAGGAGACACAUCCUAGAAGGGGUUGUUGUCUUACAUGAAACUCUUCAUGAAAUUCACUCGAAGAAACUGGACGGGGUGAUCUUCAAGGUG
rnacentral:rRNA from 1 species